AGAGCCUCAUCCUGAUACUCCCCAGUUUUGUUGCGUAUCGCGGAGCUGCAGAUCCGGCUGGAUGUGUGUCGCACUGGAUACAGAAAACACGCUCCUGCUAUUACAAACUGGAUGUGUGUGUGUGCGUGUGUGCGUGUGUGUGUGUGUGUGUGGGUGUGUGUUGGUUUAGUCAUGAAUUACACCUGAGCCGGGCAUGUAGUUUGCCGGGUUCCUGGGCGUGGGGAGCACGAAGGAAGCAGCUUCUUCUUGUGUUUGUUGGAAUAUUGUUGGAGUGAAACUUCAGCAGUGACUGCAGCAGCUGCGCAGCGCGACGCACGACGCACGUUGUUUCUGCUCCGCUCUGCCUCGAUCACAUCACUUUCAUCACACCAGGAUGUACAUUUGGGAACUUUUUAUUUUGGAAGCACCGUGGACACAGAGGACGAGUUUUAUUUUCUAAGUUUUGAUUCCUUGUUUUGGGGGAAUACAGACAGAAAACACGGCUGUGCAGUGAGAGGGGCAUCCAGAGGAGAGGAGAGCGAGGUUGUUGAUGUCCUCAGAGAUCAACCGGCCUGAACACUGAACAGGAGAGCGAGGUGGUUCAUGUCAUCAGAGACCAACAGGCCCGAACACUAAACAGG